rnacentral:rRNA from 1 species
GACAGAGGGUGCAACGUUGUUCGGAAUUACUGGGCGUAAAGCGCGUGUAGGCAGCUCGGAAAGUCGGAUGUGAAAGCCCUGGGCUCAACCUAGGAAGUGCAUUCGAAACUUCCGAGCUGGAGUGCUGGAGAGGAAGGCGGAAUUCUCGGUGUAGAGGUGAAAUUCGUAGAUAUCGAGAGGAACACCGGUGGCGAAGGCGGCCUUCUGGACAGUUACUGACGCUGAGACGCGAAAGCGUGGGGGAGCAAACAGG